GAUUAUGGCUCAGGAUGAACGCUGGCGGCGUGCUAACACAUGCAAGUCGAGCGAGAAUUACUUAAUGACGCUCGGUAGAUUAGAGUAAGGAAAGCGGCGGACGGGUGAGUAACGCGUGGGAAACCUGCCCUUCACAGGGGGACAGCCGAGGGAAACUUCGAUUAAUACCUCAUAACGCAUAGGAGUCGCAUGGCGCUUAUGCCAAAGAUUUAUCGGUGAAGGAUGGUCCCGCGUCUGAUUAGCUAGUUGGUGAGGCAGCGGCUCACCAAGGCGACGAUCAGUAGCCGGCCUGAGAGGGUGAACGGCCACAUUGGAACUGAGACACGGUCCAGACUCCUACGGGAGGCAGCAGUGGGGAAUAUUGCACAAUGGGCGCAAAGCCUGAUGCAGCAACGCCGCGUGAAGGAAGAAGGCCUUCGGGUCGUAAACUUCUGUCCAAGGGGAAGAAACCUGACGGUACCCUUGGAGGAAGCCCCGGCUAACUACGUGCCAGCAGCAGC
rnacentral:rRNA from 1 species